rnacentral:rRNA from 1 species
GCUACGGGUGGCAGCAGUGAGGAAUAUUGGUCAAUGGGCGCGAGCCUGAACCAGCCAAGUCGCGUGAGGGAAGACGGUCCUAUGGAUUGUAAACCUCUUUUGUCGGGGAGCAAAAGACGCCACGCGUGGCGUUCCGAGAGUCACCGAAGAAAAAGCAUCGGCUAACUCCGUGACAGCAGCCGCGGUAAUAAGGAGGAUUCGAGCGUUAUCGGGAUUUAUUGGGUUUAAAGGGGGCGCAGGCGGAAGAUCAAGGCAGCGGUAAGAUUGAGAGGCUCAACCUCUAAGGACCGUUUAAACUGGUUUUCUUGAGUGAGUGAGAAGUAUGCGGAAUUCGUGGUGUAGCGGUGAAAUGCAUAGAUAUCACGCAGAACUCCGAUUGCGAAGGCAGCAUACCGGCGCUCAACUGACGCUCAUGCACGAAAGUGUGGGUAUCGAACAGGAUUAGAUACCCCAGUAGUC